UCAGAGUUAAGGACAUAAGCGUUAAGCUCAGCAACAGUGACGGUCUCAACUUUAUGUACACCUUCGUAUUGAACAAGAGGAAGUAGCGACAUCAUGGAGACAUUUUUUGUUGAAUCCAAAGUUUAAGAAGGUGAAUAGGAAAACAUGAAUUUAGUUAGCAGAAAAAAAUAGAGGGUUUUAAUCUUACUCUUCAUAAAGACUUUGGCCAGCACCACUUUCUUUGUCAUAGUGGAAAUGGGUGCAUUUAGGAUGAAACUUUAGGAGCCACGUCAUGAAGUUGAUGAUUAACAGGAUUAAGUUGGCCAGAAAUCCUAGUACCUCCAAACACCUUAGGCUCAACACAUGAGGCCACCAAU
rnacentral:lncRNA from 1 species